rnacentral:rRNA from 1 species
AUUGAACGCUGGCGGCAUGCCUUACACAUGCAAGUCGAACGGCAGCACGGGAGCAAUCCUGGUGGCGAGUGGCGAACGGGUGAGUAAUACAUCGGAACGUGCCCAAUCGUGGGGGAUAACGCAGCGAAAGCUGUGCUAAUACCGCAUACGAUCUACGGAUGAAAGCAGGGGAUCGCAAGACCUUGCGCGAAUGGAGCGGCCGAUGGCAGAUUAGGUAGUUGGUGAGGUAAAGGCUCACCAAGCCGUCGAUCUGUAGCUGGUCUGAGAGGACGACCAGCCACACUGGGACUGAGACACGGCCCAGACUCCUACGGGAGGCAGCAGUGGGGAAUUUUGGACAAUGGGCGAAAGCCUGAUCCAGCCAUGCCGCGUGCAGGAUGAAGGCCUUCGGGUUGUAAACUGCUUUUGUACGGAACGAAACGGCCUUUUCUAAUAAAGAGGGCUAAUGACGGUACCGUAAGAAUAAGCACCGGCUAACUACGUGCCAGCAGCCGCGGUAAUACGUAGGGUGCAAGCGUUAAUCGGAAUUACUGGGCGUAAAGCGUGCGCAGGCGGUUAUGUAAGACAGUUGUGAAAUCCCCGGGCUCAACCUGGGAACUGCAUCUGUGACUGCAUAGCUAGAGUACGGUAGAGGGGGGAUGGAAUUCCGCGUGUAGCAGUGAAAUGCGUAGAUAUGCGGAGGAACACCGAUGGCGAAGGCAAUCCCCUGGACCUGUACUGACGCUCAUGCACGAAAGCGUGGGGAGCAAACAGGAUAUAUACCCUUUAGCCCAAGGGCGAAUUCCCAGUGGGUAUCAAGCUUUUCAUCCCGUCGACCUCGGGGGGGGCCGGUACCAACUUUUGUUCUUUAUUGAGGGAAAUGAGGCUUGAGAAUCAG